rnacentral:rRNA from 1 species
GCAAGGGGAGCGGCAGACGGGAGAGUAACACGUGGGAACGUGCCCUUUGGUUCGGAACAACACAGGGAAACUUGUGCUAAUACCGGAUAAGCCCUUACGGGGAAAGAUUUAUCGCCAAAGGAUCGGCCCGCGUCUGAUUAGCUAGUUGGUGAGGUAACGGCUCACCAAGGCUACGAUCAGUAGCUGGUCUGAGAGGAUGAUCAGCCUCACUGGGACUGAGACACGGCCCAGACUCCUACGGGAGGCAGCAGUGGGGAAUAUUGGACAAUGGGCGCAAGCCUGAUCCAGCCAUGCCGCGUGGAUGAUGAAGGCCCUAGGG